rnacentral:rRNA from 1 species
UACAGAGGUCUCAAGCGUUUGUUCGGAUUCAUUGGGCGUAAAGGGUGCGUAGGCGGCGCGGUAAGUCGGGUGUGAAAUCUCGGGGCUUAACUCCGAAACUGCAUUCGAUACUGCCGUGCUUGAGGACUGGAGAGGAGACUGGAAUUUACGGUGUAGCGGUGAAAUGCGUAGAUAUCGUAAGGAAGACCAGUGGCGAAGGCGGGUCUCUGGACAGUUCCUGACGCUGAGGCACGGAAGGCCCAGGGGGAGCAAAACGGG